GUUCGCGCCUGGGUGGCUGCGAGGACGUCGUCUGGGUUUCGGCCAAUGGCCAGCGCCCACGUCGGGGGAACGCCUCGUGACCGCGCGUCACCGGAGAAAAAGUUGGAAAGCCAGACUGUUGAAAUGAAGGAAGGAAGUCUACAGUUUCUUAUCGCCUUCUUAUCAUCAUGAGGAGCCCCAGAAUUGGAGCCAACUGGGAGGGAAGCAGAGCCAAUAGAUCACAAGCAAAAGACCAAGUCCUGAUGACAAACAUUUGUGCUCCUUGAUCAAGCACAUGAUGGCACCUUUUGAAAUAUCGAGAAAUACAUGUGUUGAACAUGAAUCUUGGACUGCGAUUGCUUCAAAGGAAGGAGCCAGCAAUGAUGGAACCAGAUAAAGUCAGUGUUGAAGACAUGGACUGACUUUACUUAUGUGUUCUGUGGCCUUCAGCCAGUCAUUUAUGCUUCUGGAGCCUCACUUGCUUCUCAGUGAAGCAGGGUUACAACUUCAAGUAAGAUGUUUGGACUAGGAGAACCUUCCUGGAGUGUAUAUCCAAAGGAAGACCUGUUAGCUGGGGAUGCAGAAGGAGAUUUAUGGAAGAGUGUCUUCCAGGUAGAGACAGACCUUGAGGUAAGAGUACAUCUGUUGGUCGCAGCUUCCAGAGUGAGAAGGAGAGCAGAGAACCAGGCUGGCAGGUGAGCAGGGAUCAGAGGUUUUCGAUCCUGGCUGCAUCUGAGCAUCAAUGAGAGAAUAAGUAAACAACAAGCAAGCAAAUCCAAAGCAAAGCUAUACCUAGGCCCCACCCCCAUUGUGAUUUAAUUGGCCUCUGUGUGGUGUAGUGGGGGUGGUCUUUGACCCUGGCCUCCCAACCCUCAUGGCAGGACACCAUCUCUGCCACCUGCCCAUCAGAUUCCCCCACACUGCAGCUCUCCCUUUGUCUAACAGCCCCUUGCGUGAUUGGGGCACGCAACUAGGAUCAGAAGCAGGGCGAGAGUUUGAAGAGCCUGGUAAUCUAGGCUAAAAAGUUUGAAUUUGCCUUAAGGGCAAGGAAGUGCCUUGUUGAAUAAAUGUGUAUGCCAUCAGCUACCAUUAAUAAUAAUGUUUAAACAGACUUCAGCAUGUUUAUCAAAGCCUGAGAUUUUUCUGGUAACCACCUGGGUAUAUAAAUGUUUUGUGUGAAGGGAUGGGGUACGAGGAAGCACAAAAAUAGAGAUGCUGUGGGAUGGGUUAUAAAUCUAAACUUCAGGACACUCAGAAGAUACAUUUCUAAAUAGGUGCAUGUAAAUGGAAAAUGUGGAAAGCAAAUCAUAAAACCACCUGGGGAGGUUGCUAUUAAAAGAAUCAGUGAAGUAAAACCUACUGAAAUGCUAACAAUAACUCCUGAUUUAUUUGUUCUGCAUUAUUUGGAUUUUCAUAUACAGUAUUGAGUUUUUUAAAAGAUGGUACACAAUGGAACAUUUGCAUGUUUACAUAAACACCAAAGUAUGUUUUAUUUCAUCAGAGGGGAACAAGUCAAGGCAUUUGGGAGUAAACAUGGAUUCAUUUCCAGACUUGAGUUUGAAGUUUUUUAUGGAUAUGAUUUUGAGAAAAUAACCUUUGAGAGACUUCAUUUCCUCAUCAGAAAAAUGAGAAUAACACACCCACCUUACAAGUUUGUGUAAAGGGUUACAGAUGGUAAAGCAAAUAAGACAUCUUGCAUAACACCUGGCGCAUGGUAGGUGCUCAAUAAAUGGUAACUCUUACUAACCUGCUUUCAAAAAGAGUGGAAGAGGCCUUCAGAAUACAUCUUAGAAUUCCUCCAACCUUUCUUAGGUUCUGUUUCCAAAGCAAAUAUUCUG
ensembl:lncRNA